rnacentral:rRNA from 1 species
UGAGUUUGAUCAUGGCUCAGGAUGAACGCUAGCGGCAGGCUUAACACAUGCAAGUCGAGGGGUAACAGCAGAGAGCUUGCUUUCUGGCUGACGACCGGCGAACGGGUGCGUAACGCGUAUGCAACCUACCUCUUACUGGGGGAUAGCCCGGAGAAAUUCGGAUUAACACCCCAUAGUAUUUCAAUUUCGCAUGAUUUUGAAAUUAAAGGUUACGGUAAGAGAUGGGCAUGCGUCCCAUUAGCUAGAUGGUAAGGUAACGGCUUACCAUGGCAACGAUGGGUAGAGGGCCUGAGAGGGUGAUCCCCCACACUGGUACUGAGACACGGACCAGACUCCUACGGGAGGCAGCAGUGAGGAAUAUUGGACAAUGGACGCAAGUCUGAUCCAGCCAUGCCGCGUGCAGGAAGAAUGCCCUAUGGGUUGUAAACUGCUUUUAUUUGGGAAUAAACCCCUUCUCGUGAGGAGGGCUGAAGGUACCAAACGAAUAAGCACCGGCUAACUCCGUGCCAGCAGCCGCGGUAAUACGGAGG